GCCAGGCAUUGUGGCAGGCGCCUGUAGUCCCAGCUACUUGGGAGUCUGAGGCAAGAGAAUCUCUUCAGCCCAAGAGUUUGAGGUUGCUGUGAGCUGUGAUGCCACAGCACUCUACCCAGGGCGACAGAGUGAGGCUCUGUUUCAAAAAAAAAAAAGAUGGAGGCUUUACUUUUUUUUUUUUUGAGACAGAGUCUCAAGUUGUCGCCCUGGGUAGAGUGCUGUGACCUCACAGCUCACAGCAACCUCAAACUCUUGGGCUUAAGCAAUUCUCUUGCCUCAG
rnacentral:SRP_RNA from 1 species